GAUGAACGCUGACAGAAUGCUUAACACAUGCAAGUCGAUGGGGAAGGCUGAGCUUGCUUAGCUGGUAACCAUGGCGGACGGGUGAGUAACGCGUAAGGAACUUACCUGCGGGACUGGGAUAACGGAGGGAAACUUCUGACAAGACCGGAUAAAGUUACUGGGCAGCAUUGUUUGGUAAUGAAAGGGAACGCCUGCGGAGAGUCUUGCGUCCUAUUAGCUAGUUGGUUGGGUAACGGUUGACCAAGGCGAAGAUAGGUAGCCGGCCUGAGAGGGUGGACGGCCACAAGGGGACUGAGAUACGGCCCUUACUCCUACGGGAGGCAGCAGUGGGGAAUAUUGGACAAUGGGGGCAACCCUGAUCCAGCAAUUCUGUGUGCACGAAGAAGGUUUUCGGAUUGUAAAGUGCUUUCAGCAGGGAAGAAGUAAGUGACGGUACCUGCAGAAGAAGCGACGGCUAAAUACGUGCCAGCAGCCGCGGUAAUACGUAUGUCGCGAGCGUUAUCCGGAAUUAUUGGGCAUAAAGGGCAUCUAGGCGGCCUAACAAGUCAGGGGUGAAAACCUGCGGCUCAACCGCAGGCCUGCCUUUGAAACUGUAAGGCUGGAGUACCGGAGAGGUGGACGGAACUGCACGAGUAGAGGUGAAAUUCGUAGAUAUGUGCAGGAAUGCCGAUGAUGAAGAUAGUCCACUGGACGGAAACUGACGCUGAAGUGCGAAAGCCGGGGGAGCGAACAGG
rnacentral:rRNA from 1 species